GAACUGCGAAUGGCUCAUUAUAUAAGUUAUCGUUUAUUUGAUAGUGCCUAUCCUACACGGAUAACAGUGGUAAUUCUAGAGCUAAUACGUGCCAAAUGCCCCGACUCCGGAAGGGGCGUGCUUGUCAGAAUCAGAACCGAUGCCCUCUGGGCUCCCUGGUGGCUCAUGACAAUCCCACAGAUCGCAUGGCCUUGUGCCGGCGAUGGCUCAUUCAAAUUUCUUCCCUAUCAACUUUCGACGGUACGGUCUUGGCCUACCGUGGUUACAACGGGUAACGGAGGGUUAGGGCUCGACCCCGGAGAGGGAGCCUGAGAAACGGCUACCACAUCCAAGGAAGGCAGCAGCCGCGCAAAUUAUCCAAUCCCGACACGGGGAGAUAGUGACAAUAAAUACCGAUACAGGGCUCUUUUGGGCCCCGUAAUUGGAAUGAGUACAAUUUAAACCUCUUAACGAGGAACAAUUGGAGGGCAAGUCUGGUGCCAGCAGCCGCGGUAAUUCCAGCUCCAAUAGCGUAUAUUAAAGUUGUUGUGGUUAAAAAGCUCGUAGUCGAACCUCGGGCCCGGCCGGCCGGUCCGCCUCACCGCGUGCACUGGCCCGGCCGGGCUCUUCCCUCUGCGGAGCCGCAUGCCCUUCACUGGGCGUGCCGGGGAAGCAGGACUUUUACUUUGAAAAAAUUAGAGUGCUCAAGGCAGGCCAAUGCUCGGAUACAUUAGCAUGGAAUAAUGGAAUAGGACGUUGGUUCUAUUUUGUUGGUUUCUAGGACCGCCGUAAUGAUCAAUAGGGACGGUCGGGGGCAUCGGUAUUCAGUUGCGAGAGGUGAAAUUCUUAGACUGGCUGAAGACUAACUACUGCGAAAGCAUUUGCUAAGGACGUUUUCGCUGAUCUGGAAGAAAGUUAGGGGAUCGAAGACGAUCAGAUACCGUCGUAGUCUUAACCAUAAACGGUGCCGACUUGGGAUCGGGCGCUGCUGAUUUCACGGCGCGCUCGGCACCAUUCGAGAAAUCAAAGUGCGUGGGCUCCAGGGGGAGUAUGGCGGCAACGCUGAAACUUAAAGAAAUUGACGGAAGGGCACCACCAGGGGUGGAACCUGCGGCUUAAUUUGACUCAACACGGGGAAACUCACCAGGUCCAGACACAAUGAGGAUUGACAGAUUGAUAGCUCUUUCUUGAUUUUGUGGGUGGUGGUGCAUGGCCGUUCUUAGUUGGUGGGGUGACUUGUCUGCCUAAU
rnacentral:rRNA from 1 species